AAAAGGGAGAGCGUGGAAGUCCAGGUGCAGUAGGUCCUCAAGGGGAAAAGGGUGCUAUGGGUUAUCCAGGUCCUCCUGGGAUUCCAGGACCCACUGGUCCACCGGGAUUACCUGGUCCUGCAGGGGCAAGAGGACCACCUGGGGGUCAAGGUACUAAAGGACAAAGAGUAAGUUAUCUGAUGAAGGAUGUACAUUAACCUAAAAAAAAUGACUUCAUGGAUGGUGAUGUGUUCAGCAAAAAUACCUUUAUAUCAUUUAGAUUGUGCUUACACACAUUGGGUUUUUCC